CUAACCUUCAACUCUUCUAACAUAAUGAUUCUUGGCAACUAGCUUAACGGUAACACUUAAAGGUCUAGAGUAAGAUAGUCUCGGCCUAGAUAUAUCUAACCUUCAACUAUUCUAACAUAAUGAUUCUUGGCAACUAGCUUAACGGUAAAACUUAAAGGUCUAGAGUAAGAUAGUCUCGGCCUAGAUAUAUCUAACCCUCAACUCUGCUAACGGGUUGUCGGCAACUAGCUUAACGGUAAAACUUAAAGGUCUAGAGUAAGAUAGUCUCGGCCUAGAUAUAUCUAACCUUCAACUCUUCUAACAUAAUGAUUCUUGGCAACUAGCUUAACGGUAACACUUAAAGGUCUAGAGUAAGAUAGUCUCGGCCUAGAUAUAUCUAACCCUCAACUCUGCUAACGGGUUGUCGGCAACUAGCUUAACGGUAAAACUUAAAGGUCUAGAGUAAGAUAGUCUUGGCCUAGAUAUAUCUAACCUUCAACUCUUCUAGAAGGUUCUUGGCAACUAGCUUGAAGGUAAAACUUAAAGGUCUAGAGUAAGAUAGUCUUGGCCUAGCCUUCAACUCUUCUAGUAGGUUGUUGGCAACUAGCUUGAAGGCAGACCUUAAAUGUCUAGAGUAAGAUAGUCUUGGCCUAUCUAACCUUCCACUCUUCUAGAAGGUUCUUGGCAACUAGCUUGAAGGUAAAACUUAAAGGUCUAAUGUAAGAUAGUCUUGGCCUAGCCUUCAACUCUUCUAGUAGGUUGUUGGCAACUAGCUUAAAGGCAGAACUUAAAGGUCUAGAGUAAGAUAGUCUUGGCCUAGAUAUAUCUAACCUUCCACUCUUCUAGAAGGUUCUUGGCAACUAGCUUAAAGGUAAAACUUAAAGGUCUAGAGUAAGAUAGUCUUGGCCUAGUCUUCAACUCUUCUAGUAGGUUGUUGGCAACUAGCUUGAAGGCAGAACUUAAACGUCUAGAGUAAGAUAGUCUUGGCCUAGCCUUCAACUCUUCUAGUAGGUUGUUGGCAACUAGCUUGAAUGCAGAACUUAAAGGUCUAGAGUAAGAUAGUCUUGGUCUAGCCUUCAACUCUUCUAGUAGGUUGUUGGCAACUAGCUUAAAGGCAGAACUUAAAGGUCUAGAGUAAGAUAGUCAUGGCCUAGAUAUAUCUAACCUUCCACUCUUCUAGAAGGUUCUUGGCAACUAGCUUGAAGGUAAAACUUAAAGGUCUAGAGUAAGAUAGUCUUGGCCUGACCUUCAACUCUUCUAGUAGGUUGUUGGCAACUAGCUUGAAGGCAGAACUUAAAGGUCUAGAGUAAGAUAGUCUUGGCCAAGCCUUCAACUCUUCUAGAAGGUUCUUGGCAACUAGCUUGAAGGCAGAACUUAAAGGUCUAGAGUAAGAUAGUCUUGGCCUAGCCUUCAACUCUUCUAGUAGGUUGUUGGCAACUAGCUUGAAGGCAGACCUUAAACGUCUAGAGUAAGAUAGUCUUGGCCUAGAUAUAUCUAACCUUCCACUCUUCUAGAAGAUUAUUGGCAACUAGCUUGAAGGCAGAACUUAAAGGUCUAGAGUAAGAUAGUCUUGGCCUAGCCUUCAACUCUUCUAGUAGGUUGUUGGCAACUAGCUUGAAGGCAGACCUUAAAUGUUUAGAGUAAGAUAGUCUUGGCCUAUCUAACCUUCAACUCUUCUAGAAGGUUCUUGGCAACUAGCUUGAAGGUAAAACUUAAAGGUCUAGAGUAAGAUAGUCUUGGCCUAGCCUUCAACUCUUCUAGUAGGUUGUUGGCAACUAGCUUGAAGGCAGACCUUAAAUGUCUAGAGUAAGAUAGUCUUGGCCUAUCUAACCUUCCACUCUUCUAGAAGGUUCUUGGCAACUAGCUUGAAGGUAAAACUUAAAGGUCUAGAGUAAGAUAGUCUUGGCCUAGAUAUAUCUAACCUUCCACUCUUCUAGAAGGUUCUUGGCAACUAGCUUAAAGGUAAAACUUAAAGGUCUAGAGUAAGAUAGUCUUGGCCUAGUCUUCAACUCUUCUAGUAGGUUGUUGGCAACUAGCUUGAAGGCAGAACUUAAACGUCUAGAGUAAGAUAGUCUUGGCCUAGCCUUCAACUCUUCUAGUAGGUUGUUGGCAACUAGCUUGAAGGCAGAACUUAAACGUCUAGGUUAAGAUAGUCUUGGCCUAGCCUUCAACUCUUCUAGUAGGUUGUUGGCAACUAGCUUAAAGGCAGAACUUAAAGGUCUAGAGUAAGAUAGUCAUGGCCUAGAUAUAUCUUACCUUCCACUCUUCUAGAAGGUUCUUGGCAACUAGCUUGAAGGCAGAACUUAAAGGUCUAGAGUAAGAUAGUCUUGGCCUAGCCUUCAACUCUUCUAGUAGGUUGUUGGCAACUAGCUUGAAGGUAAAACUUAAAGGUCUAGAGUAAGAUAGUCUCGGCCUGACCUUCAACUCUUCUAGUAGGUUGUUGGCAACUAGCUUGAAGGCAGAACUUAAAGGUCUAGAGUAAGAUAGUCUUGGCCAAGCCUUCAACUCUUCUAGAAGGUUCUUGGCAACUAGCUUGAAGGCAGAACUUAAAGGUCUAGAGUAAGAUAGUCUUGGCCUAGCCUUCAACUCUUCUAGUAGGUUGUUGGCAACUAGCUUGAAGGCAGACCUUAAACGUCUAGAGUAAGAUAGUCUUGGCCUAGAUAUAUCUAACCUUCCACUCUUCUAGAAGGUUCUUGGCAACUAGCUUGAAGGUAAAACUUAAAGGUCUAGAGUAAGAUAGUCUUGGCCUAGCCUUCAACUCUUCUAGUAGGUUGUUGGCAACUAGCUUGAAGGCAGAACUUAAAGGUCUAGAGUAAGAUAGUCUUGGCCUAGAUAUAUCUAACCUUCCACUCUUCUAGAAGGUUCUUGGCAACUAGCUUAAAGGUGAAACUUAAAGGUCUAAAGUAAGAGAGCCUUGCCCUAGAUCUUACCUUUAACUCUUCUAGUAGGUUCUUGGCAACUUACUUGAAGGCAGAAUUUACAGGUCUAGAGUAAGAUAGUCUUGGCCUAGAUAUAUCUUACCUUCAACUCUUCUAGUAGAUUCUUGGCAACUAGCCUAAAGGCAGAACUGGAGCCGAUGAAGACAAGGCUUCCUUUGAUGAGAUUGAUGCGUGACCCGAGGCCAGAAAGGUAUAGUGUGUUUGCAGCUGAGUUGAGGUACAAGAUCAGGUAAAGUACGUGCAGCCAAUUUCACGAAACUUUACGCAACUGCGUACAAUUUCGGGAAAUCUGCUGCAGGUAAGUGAAGGAAAACAAACUCUUUACUCCACAACCAAUUUUCUUGCAGCUUCUCACAGUCAUUGUUCCCACGUAUUUUAUAAUGUGGUUUUGUUUUUCUACAGUCUGCAUCAGUCUACGUGUGGCAGUCGAUUGUGUACUGGAACCCGGAGGCUCCACUCUCAUAAUGUAAAAGAUUGAAAAAACACUCCUUGAAGAGCCAUUAUGAAGGACAACUCUUUUUUGAGUGGUCUUCCACUCUUUUAGAUUGAAGUUUGCAUCUUUUUGAGUGAUAUUUCACUCUGUCCUGGAGUGAAACCCCUCUUAAAGAGUAAAAUAACCACCAUUUUUUUUGAAGAGCCAUAUGAGGGACAGCUCGAAAUGUAAAGAGUGGUGUUUUUCACUCUUUUACAUUUAGAGAGUAGGUGACAGGUAAAGGUUGUCAAGGUAAUUUCAUAAUAAAUCCCAGUUUGACUUGAUGUGAUUUCAAAUGCUCACCUUUUAAUAUUAUUUUCUUCUCCAAGUAUCAUAAGCAGAUUGUGUUUUCCUCUGAAGAUGAUGAGCAAGUUUGUGAACUGAACUACUUGUACAUGCGGGGCUAGAUAUUGAGUAUUUUGGAGGAAACUUUCUCCAUUUGAUGUCCCUGGUGAGAGAGCAGAGGUCAGAAAGUUCAAAUACUUGCAGCAAAGGUCAAGUAUCAGGUAAAGGUAUCAGUGGUGGAUUUCACAAAGAGUUAAGAGUUAAGAAUAGUCCUAACUUAGGGGUAGUCCUGGGCUGGGAGAAAUUGAAACUUAAGGCUAGUCCUAAGUUAGGACGAGUACUUCUUCCUAACUCGAGAUGAGACAAGUCUUAACUCUUUUUGAAAUCCACCCCUGGUAAGUGAACGCAAAUAACAUUUCAUUCAAAGGCUAAAAAACACGAAUUUGUUUCAAACCAGUUUGGCAUUUUUUAUAAUUUGUUUAAUUAUUUUUAUUUAUUUAUGCCGAUGUAUUAGGAACUUCCCUGGGACACCUAUGACAGUUUUGUUUAAACAAAAUAAAAGGUGACAAGUGGUUGACCUCAGUUGAUCCUAAUGGCCCGAAUAAUAAAACAAAAUAUUAUAAUAACGACUCUAAGAGCGCAAUUCCAGAAAGUAAAUUGCAUUUAUCGAACCCAUUAUUACACCUCAACACUAAGUAGGCCGUUGUUUAAAUCUUUUAAACUACAUCCGCUCCCUGUACCACAUUUGCUGUCAAGUAUGUAGCGCACUGAGCUAAAUCAAUCACAAGAACCAAUUCUUCACUGAAUGGCACACAUUGAUCCCUGGUUGGCGAGAAGCAAAUCGUAUCUGUAUGCAAGUUUCUUGCUUGUGAACACGUCAUGACCGGGAUUCGAACCCACCCCGUGAUGGUUUAUAAUCAAUGACUAUAGUCCAAUGCAUUCAAAUGGUAGAUCAUUACAAACACUUUCUUUUUGUCUUUCAAUCUUUGCAGUGAACAUAAUGCGUUUCUUCUGAAGUUGAUGGACUAAUCUUUGAACUGAAAUAUUCACCAUAGAUGAUCUUACUGCAGGGACUGAGAUCAUGCACAAAAAAUUGCUUGAGACGCUUUGAUGUUGAGUCUUACAGUGCUGGAAGGAAUGACGUAAUGGGCUUGGCCAAAUUUCAAAGAGCUGCUAAGCACACAAAUCUGCUCAGCAUGAAAUUUCUUCCUUUAAAAUAGGAUUACCAACCAAAUUUUUAUUUGUUGUGUAUUGCUUGUUAUUCAGCUGUUAAUUGCUUGCAUAUCCUGAAAAUCACGUGGGAAUUAUUUGGUUGGUAAUCUUGUUUUUAUCAAAGAAGAAAUUUCAUGCUAAGCAAAAUCUUUGUGUUUGGCAGCUCCAUGAAAUUGGGCCCUGAUCUGUUUAAGGAAACCUUUCUCAAGGAAGACUUUCUAUAGUGCAGCUCGAUGAUUCUCCACAACGACGAGGGACUGUCUCAAGUUUAGCCAAAGCCAAUGUUAUAGAGCUGCUUAAACAGACAAGUUGAUUAACAAUGGUUUGCUUAGCAGAACUGAGCAUAAUUUUAAUUUUUUUAAAUAUACAGUUGACAUUGUAGGUAGGUUGGUAACCUUUUUCUGGGGAGCAUAAUUUUGUUGUUUUUAUUUUGCUUGAGCAGCUCUUUGAAAAUGAGUCCAGAUGAUUCACUUCAAAAUGUUUGUUCGUCGAGUCCUGGAAUUCGUUAAAAUUUACAUCACCCCAAUGCCCAUUUUAAUUUAGAGCUGCCAAAGCACAAAGGUAAUUAAAACAAAUCUAAUAUUAAUGAUUGUCUAAAAAAGAUUACCAACCAAGUUUAGCAUGUUACGUGUACCAAUGGGCACUGGUUUAGUUUAGUAGAAAUGAUUGUUCUGCUUAAAGGCAGUGGACACUAUUGGUAAUUACUCAAAAUAAUUUUUAGCAUAA